rnacentral:rRNA from 1 species
CCUACGGGAGGCAGCAGUGAGGAAUAUUGGACAAUGGGCGCAAGCCUGAUCCAGCCAUGCCGCGUGCAGGAAGACGCAUCUAUGGUGUGUAAACUGCUUUUGUACGGGAAGAAACACUCCCUCGUGAGGGAGCUUGACGGUACCGUAAGAAUAAGGAUCGGCUAACUCCGUGCCAGCAGCCGCGGUAAUACGGAGGAUCCAAGCGUUAUCCGGAAUCAUUGGGUUUAAAGGGUCCGUAGGCGGUUUAAUAAGUCAGUGGUGAAAGCCCAUCGCUCAACGAUGGAACGGCCAUUGAUACUGUUAGACUUGAAUUACUAGGAAGUAACUAGAAUAUGUAGUGUAGCGGUGAAAUGCUUAGAUAUUACAUGGAAUACCAAUUGCGAAGGCAGGUUACUACUAGUGGAUUGACGCUGAUGGACGAAAGCGUGGGGAGCGAACAGGAUUAGAUACCCUGGUAGUCCACGCCGUAAACGAUGGAUACUAGCUGUUGGGCGCAAGUUCAGUGGCUAAGCGAAAGUGAUAAAGUAUCCCACCUGGGGAGUAACGUUCGCAAGAAUGAAACUUCAAAGGAAUUGACGG